rnacentral:ncRNA from 10 species
GACGUUCAUCACAAAUGUGACGGAAGUACCAAUGAGGGAAGGAACGCACC